GCUUCGGUAGUCUAGCCUGGUCCAGGAUGCGGGACUGUCAAUCCCGCGACCCGGGUUCAAAUCCCGGCCGGGGCG
rnacentral:tRNA from 1 species